UAGAAGAAGAAGAAACUGAUGAAGAAACAAAAAUCAAAGCACAAGAGCUAACUGUUCAGAUGAUGCAAAAUCCUCAGGUUCUUGCAGCCCUUCAGGAAAGACUUGAUGUUCUGGUAGAAAUACCAACAGGUUACAUUGAAAGCCUGCGUAGGGCAGUUAGAAGACAAGUGGAUGCUCUCAAAAACCUGCAGGUUAAAUGUGCACAGAUAGAAGCCAAAUUCUAUGAGGAAGCUCACGAUCUUGAAAGGAAGUAUCCUGUUCUCUGUUGGCCUCUAUUUGAUAAGCAAUUUGAGAUUAUUAAUGCAAUUUAUGAACCUACGGAAGAAAAAUGUGAAUGGAAACCAGUUGAAGAUGAGAUUUCAGAGUUGAAAGAAAAGGCCAAGAUUGAAGAUGAGAAAAAAAAAUGAAGAAAAAGAAGACCCCCAAAGGAAUUCCUGAAUUUUGGUUAACGGUUUUUAAGAAUGUUGACUUGCUCAGUGAUACGGUUCAGGAACAUAACCCUAUCCUGAAGCACUUGAAAGAUAUUAAAGUGAAGUUCUCAGAUGCUGGCCAGCCUAUGAGUUUUCUCUUAGAAUUUCACUUUGAGCCCAAUGAGUAUUUUACAAAUGAAGUGCUGACAAAGACAUAUAGGAUGAAGUUAGAACCAGAUGAUUCUGAUCCCUUUUCUUUUGAUGGACCAGAAGUUACAGAUUGUAAGGGUGCCAGACAGAUCGGAAAAAAGGAAAGAAUGUGACUUUGAAAACCAGUAAGAAGCAGAAACACAAGGGAUGUGGAAUAGUUUGUACUGUGACUAGAGCAGUUUCCAAUGACUCUUUCCUUAAUUUUGUUACCCCUCCUGAAGUUCCUGAGAGUGGAGAUCUGGAUGAUGAUGCUGAAGCUAUCCUUGCUGCAGACUUCAAAAUUGGUCACUUUUUACAUGAGUAUAUAAUCCCAAGAUCAGUGUUAUAAUUUACUGGAGAAGCUAUUGAAGAUGAUGAUGAAGAAGGUGAAGAAGCACAUGAGGAAGGGGAAGAAGAAGGAGAUAAGGAAAAUGAUCCGGACUAUGACCCAAAGAAGGAUCAAAACCCAGCAGAGUGCAAGCAGCAGUGAAGCAGGACGUAUGUGGCCUUGAGGAUAAUCUGCACUGUAAUAGGCUA